UUUCGAUAUUAAUUUCAAUUGAAUUAAUCAGGUCAUUUCUAUGCAAUUGGAGCCGGGGAUUAAAAUGGAAUACAAAAUUGAGAUGCGAGAUGAGCUAUUGGAUGAGGAGAAUAUUUAAUGGAAGCAUUGAGGCAUCACUUGGAUUUAUUGAGAUCUUAUGAGGCCAAUUGAGAUGGAUUUAAAGUAAAUCAACUGAUUAAUAGAAGCCAAUUGUUUCAAAAUUCGUGUGCCCCUUUGCUCACACUUAUGGACCAACUCAAAGAGCUUCUAGAAGGGAUUUGAGCUUGGAAGAGUGCUGAGCAAGCCAGCUGAGGUUUGGUGGGCCAUGUGAGGAACAAAGGGAUAAGAUUGAAGAGAAUGGUCUCCAAAAGAGAAACCGGUUUUCCUUUCAUCCCUAUCUCCUUGCUCUCUCCCUCCUCUCUUCCCUUCCUGCGACCCUUACUGCUUCUGCCUUGCUUUCGUUCUUCUUAGUGAACCGAACCAUUCUGCCCCUUCUCCUUUCAUUUUUUUCUUUCUUGCAAAUCUACCGCAACUGCCUGCCACGAUCGAAGCCCAUCUCUCCAUCUUGUUGACCGCAGCUCCUUCGCGCGUAGUCCAGCUCUCAAGAUCAAAGAAGACCGCUGCAGCUGCCACGUUGAAGCCAUCAGCCACCGAAAGAAGCUCCUUCGGUCAACAACCCAUGCACGAAGCCCCCAUCGUCGACCCACUCAGCUUCUCCGCGCGUCCAGCAGCAAAUCCGUGUUCGCGUCUUCAGUCCAGCGAGUCGACCGAAGAAAUCCAGUCCGCUUGCUACCGCUUGACAGUGCCAGCCCACUUCUCGGUCUUCCCCAUCUCACGCCAGCAAAGCUACUUCCCGUUCGUUGAUUCCAUCUCCGUGCUCAGCUUCUGCGGGACGUUUGCACGCCGGUCAACAAACGAGCCAGCAGAAGCUCCUCUGUUGACUCCGCAUCUCCAUCCCACAAGCCACCAGCAAGCCCACGCCUCUGCCAGGCAUCCCCUCUUCCUGCGUACAACGCCGAACAAAGCAGCUCCGUUCUUCACCGCGUCUUCUUCAAUUCAUGUGAGCAGCCCAGUCACAAGUCCACCGAAACAGCUUCGGCCCAGCAGCUGCUUCUCCAGUUCAUGGGCCAGCCACAGCAGCCCAGCCUAGUCCACGUGAGUUAAUUGGCCAAGCCCAAUUUCCAGCAAAGCAAUUGAAGUCCAGCCCAUAUCUCGAAGCCUAGUUCAGUUUUGUUUCAAGCCCAUCUCAGCCCGAGUGUCGAGUCCAACAUCAUUUGUAUUUCAGCGAGGCCCAGCAAGUUCAACCCAUCUUGGGCCCGUGAAGCAAGUCAGCCCAAGGCCAGCUUUUGUUGUUGGCUUGCGAGGCUUGUAGGCUCGGCUCGAGUGUCUAUCGUCGCCGCCGAAAUUUUGGAAUUCGGCCGCCGUCGCGGUUUUCGAUCUUCGCUUUACCAAGACUUGGAUGAGGAGCCUAAGGAGCAUGAAUCUGACGAGGAGAUCCUUGUUGAGGAACCUGAAGAGGAGUACGUGGAGGAGGACCCCGAGUAUGACAUCGAGUACGACCCGGAUGAGGACUGAGAUCCCGUCCUGUCUUGUCAGACCUUGUUUGCGUGUGAAUAGAUGUUAGACCAGAGUUGCGUAUAUAUAGUAUUGUAGAAUACUAUGAGAUGCAUGUAAAAAGAUGUAGUUGUGAAUUUUCAGUAUGGAAAAUGUAUAGCCUGCUUUUCUAUCC